rnacentral:snRNA from 1 species
UCACUUACCUGGACGGGGUCGAUAGCCGAUCAAGAAGAGCUAUGGCCUAAAUCAAUGGCCUCCAUUGCACUUGGGAGGAGCAUUGGCUUACCAUCUUCCUAAACGGGAGAGUGGACGUCAUAAUUUGUGGAAGAGGGGGUACGCGUUCGCGCGGCCCCUGC